ACCGUACAUAACCAAAGAUAUAUUCUGGAAGAAAAUAUUAAUUUUAUUAAAGUCAACUCCACUAAAUCAUGAGGUAUUUUUCUUUGUAGGUUUCAUAUAGGCCGAUACCGCAUACUAUUAGCAAGUUUAUUACGAAUAUCUUGUAAAAUACAUGAUUCCUAACAUGUAGGUAAAGUUUUGAUUCUAAAUGGCAAGGAAAAAUGGCACGAAAAAUUUCGAAACUAAAAUAACUACAAAAUUUGUAAAACUAUCAUAAAUAAGUUCUUUGUAAGAGUAAAUGCCACAAUUUGAAAGAAUAAAUACUAAAUUUAAACUGCUUAUAAAGUA